GUUUUUUCCGACUGGGCGGCUCGACGCCGUCCAGCUUAUUAUUGUUCUCCUCUUCUAUCUCAAUGAAUGAUUGAGCUCGUUGGAAGAGGUCGGGGAGGGUCUCCACUUUAUGGAGCGUAAGGUUCUGGGCCAAAGGGGAGUAGGGUACUAGCCCAUUCAUGUACCCCGCUAUGGCCAGACUCGGGAUUAGGUCGUUCACUUCUG
rnacentral:lncRNA from 1 species